rnacentral:miRNA from 1 species
CCUCGAGCCAAACAACAUUC